CGGAGCUUGCUCCACCGGAAAAAGAAGAGUGGCGAACGGGUGAGUAACACGUGGGUAACCUGCCCAUCAGAAGGGGAUAACACUUGGAAACAGGUGCUAAUACCGUAUAACAAUCGAAACCGCAUGGUUUUGAUUUGAAAGGCGCUUUCGGGUGUCGCUGAUGGAUGGACCCGCGGUGCAUUAGCUAGUUGGUGAGGUAACGGCUCACCAAGGCCACGAUGCAUAGCCGACCUGAGAGGGUGAUCGGCCACAUUGGGACUGAGACACGGCCCAAACUCCUACGGGAGGCAGCAGUAGGGAAUCUUCGGCAAUGGACGAAAGUCUGACCGAGCAACGCCGCGUGAGUGAAGAAGGUUUUCGGAUCGUAAAACUCUGUUGUUAGAGAAGAACAAGGAUGAGAGUAACUGUUCAUCCCUUGACGGUAUCUAACCAGAAAGCCACGGCUAACUACGUGCCAGCAGCCGCGGUAAUACGUAGGUGGCAAGCGUUGUCCGGAUUUAUUGGGCGUAAAGCGAGCGCAGGCGGUUUCUUAAGUCUGAUGUGAAAGCCCCCGGCUCAACCGGGGAGGGUCAUUGGAAACUGGGAGACUUGAGUGCAGAAGAGGAGAGUGGAAUUCCAUGUGUAGCGGUGAAAUGCGUAGAUAUAUGGAGGAACACCAGUGGCGAAGGCGGCUCUCUGGUCUGUAACUGACGCUGAGGCUCGAAAGCGUGGGGAGCAAACAGGAUUAGAUACCCUGGUAGUCCACGCCGUAAACGAUGAGUGCUAAGUGUUGGAGGGUUUCCGCCCUUCAGUGCUGCAGCUAACGCAUUAAGCACUCCGCCUGGGGAGUACGACCGCAAGGUUGAAACUCAAAGGAAUUGACGGGGGCCCGCACAAGCGGUGGAGCAUGUGGUUUAAUUCGAAGCAACGCGAAGAACCUUACCAGGUCUUGACAUCCUUUGACCACUCUAGAGAUAGAGCUUCCCCUUCGGGGGCAAAGUGACAGGUGGUGCAUGGUUGUCGUCAGCUCGUGUCGUGAGAUGUUGGGUUAAGUCCCGCAACGAGCGCAACCCUUAUUGUUAGUUGCCAUCAUUCAGUUGGGCACUCUAGCAAGACUGCCGGUGACAAACCGGAGGAAGGUGGGGAUGACGUCAAAUCAUCAUGCCCCUUAUGACCUGGGCUACACACGUGCUACAAUGGGAAGUACAACGAGUCGCGAAGUCGCGAGGCUAAGCUAAUCUCUUAAAGCUUCUCUCAGUUCGGAUUGUAGGCUGCAACUCGCCUACAUGAAGCCGGAAUCGCUAGUAAUCGCGGAUCAGCACGCCGCGGUGAAUACGUUCCCGGGCCUUGUACACACCGCCCGUCACACCACGAGAGUUUGUAACACCCGAAGUCGGUGAGGUAACCUUUGGAGCCAG
rnacentral:rRNA from 1 species